rnacentral:tRNA from 1 species
UGUCCCGUUCGUCUAGUUUGGCCUAGGACAUCGGCCCUUCACGCCGACGACAGGAGUUCAAAUCUCCUACGGGACGU